rnacentral:rRNA from 1 species
GAUGAACGCUGGCGGCGUGCCUAAUACAUGCAAGCCGAGCGGACCAAAGAGAGCUUGCUCUCUGAGGUUAGCGGCGGACGGGUGAGUAACACGUGGGUAACCUGCCUGUAAGACGGGGAUAACUUCGGGAAACCGAAGCUAAUACCGGAUGAUAAAGAGAAACGCCUGUUUCUUUUUUGAAAGUCGGCCUUGUGCUGACGCUUACAGAUGGGCCCGCGGAGCAUUAGCUAGUUGGUGAGGUAACGGCUCACCAAGGCGACGAUGCGUAGCCGACCUGAGAGGGUGAUCGGCCACACUGGGACUGAGACACGGCCCAGACUCCUACGGGAGGCAGCAGUAGGGAAUCUUCGGCAAUGGACGAAAGUCUGACCGAGCAACGCCGCGUGAGCGAUGAGGGCCUUCGGGUCGUAAAGCUCUGUUGUCAGAGAAGAACAAGUACCGGAGUAACUGCCGGUACCUUGACGGUACCUGACCAGAAAGCCACGGCUAACUACGUGCCAGCCGCCGCCGUAA